rnacentral:rRNA from 1 species
CGGUUGAUCCUGCCGGACCCUACUGCUAUCGGGGUGGGACUAGACAUGCGAGUCGAGCGUCUCUAGCUAUGUGAGACGCGGCAUACGGCUCAGUAACACGUGGCUAACCUACCCUCAGGACGGGGACAAACCCGGGAAACUGGGGCUAAUAUCCGAUAGGCGAGGAAUCCUGGAAUGGUUCUUCACCCAAAGGACAUUGGAAACAUGCUUUCUCUGUCGCCUGGGGAUGGGGCCGCGACCGAUCAGGUUGUUGGUGAGGUAAUGGCUCACCAAGCCUUUAACCGGUACGGGCCAUGAGAGUGGUAGCCCGGAGAUGGGUACUGAGACAAGGACCCAGGCCCUACGGGGCGCAGCAGUCGCGAAAACUCCGCAAUGCACGAAAGUGUGACGGGGCUACCCCGAGUGCCGUCCGCUGAGGAUGGCUUUUCCUUGGUGUAACUAGCCGGGGGAAUAAGGAGAGGGCAAGACUGGUGUCAGCCGCCGCGGUAAUACCAGCUCUCCGAGUGGUAGGGAUGAUUAUUGGGCUUAAAGCGUCCGUAGCCGGCUUAGCAAGUUUCCUGUUAAAUUCAGCGACCUAAUCGUUGAGCCGCGGGAAAUACUACUAGGCUAGGAGGCGGGAGAGGUCGACGGUACUUCUGGGGUAGGGGUGAAAUCCUAUAAUCCCGGGAGGACCACCAGUGGCGAAGGCUGUCGACUAGAACGCGCUCGACGGUGAGGGACGAAAGCUGGGGGAGCGAACCGGAUUAGAUACCCGGGUAGUCCCAGCUGUAAACGAUGCGGGCUAGGUGUUGGGGUGGCUACGUGCCACUUCAGUGCCGCAGGGAAACCAUUAAGCCCGCCGCCUGAGGAGUACGGCCGCAAGGCUGAAACUUAAAGGAAUUGGCGGGGGAGCAC